AGUGAACGCUGGCGGUAGGCCUAACACAUGCAAGUCGAACGGCAGCACAGUAAGAGCUUGCUCUUACGGGUGGCGAGUGGCGGACGGGUGAGGAAUACAUCGGAAUCUACUUUUUCGUGGGGGAUAACGUAGGGAAACUUACGCUAAUACCGCAUACGACCUACGGGUGAAAGCAGGGGAUCUUCGGACCUUGCGCGAUUGAAUGAGCCGAUGUCGGAUUAGCCAGUUGGCGGGGUAAAGGCCCACCAAGGCGACGAUCCGUAGCUGGUCUGAGGGGAUGAUCAGCCACACUGGAACUGAGACACGGUCCAGACUCCUACGGGAGGCAGCAGUGGGGAAUAUUGGACAAUGGGCGCAAGCCUGAUCCAGCCAUACCGCGUGGGUGAAGAAGGCCUUCGGGUUGUAAAGCCCUUUUGUUGGGAAAGAAAAGCAGCAGGUUAAUACCCCGCUGUUCUGACGGUACCCAAAGAAUAAGCACCGGCUAACUUCGUG
rnacentral:rRNA from 1 species